GGUAGUACAAAUCAUGAGCUUCUAAGAUUUAGAGUCUACAAAGCUGGUAUGAAAUAAAUACGUCACCUGUUUGAAAAAUACAUAAACAGAUUAAAAAUUCUAAAGCUAUAAAGGACAAGAGGCAACUGUAACCGGAACACAGGUACAUCUUCAAAUCCAGCUCCCGCCAUACACAGCAACAUCAGCAUCCAACAUCUGCAUGCAAGGUGCAGAAAUGUAGUAUGAAUACAACAGACCCCAUGUACUCAUUAAGUAACAAACCUAACCUUAGGUUGAAAGUAGUGACGAGCUGGGACAAGGGUCAGAGUCCAACUCCAAUAAGUAGAGACAGCUCAUAACAAUAUAAAUAACAUGGUACAAGAAAUAACUCAGAGAUAUGAUUCUCAGCUCAUUCACCGUUACUAAAAAUAGGCAUGCUUUUCAAGUAUAACAGUAAAUCCCAAAUCUUUCACCGAUAAUACCAAAAUAUGAGUAAGUUUGAAAAUUGUGAUUUUUCCCAAAAACUUCCAACAACAGGUAAGCCGUUUCAUUAUCAAAUGGCAUGAGAAAAGUACAUCUCUAUGCCUACAUGUCUAUGUAUGCAUGCCAACUGUAAUACAAUGUAGUGAUGAAACCAUAUGCAUAAUCUCGGUGAAUCAAUGCACUCAAUCCUCCCAAUCACUCAUAUCCUCACAGUCACUCAGUCCUCACAGUCACUCAAUCCUCCUAGUCACUCCGCACUCGCACUCGACACUCGCACUCAGUAGGUACCUGCGCUCACUGGGGGUGUGUAUAGACUCCGGAGGGACUCCUUCAGCUCAAAUGCUAUAAUAAGCCAAUCAUAUCAAAAAUCAAUAACAUUUACUACGGCGUGCAACCUGCUCCCAUCAUAAAUCAAUAAUACUUGCUACGACAUGCAGCCCUAUCCCAUCAAUAUCUUCACAAUCAGGCCCUCGGCCUCGCUCAGUCAUCAAUCUCUCCAGUCUCUUGGGCUCACAAUGUCAUGAAAAUUAGCCCAAAUAUAAUGAUGUGAUGUAUUAAUAAAUGGUAACAUAGACUGAGAUAUGAUAUGCAUAUGAAUGCGUACGACUAAGUAUGUAAUUACAACGUAAACAAAUAACUCAACAACAAAAAUGACCUCUACGGGUCCCAGCAGAAUAAGCAUGUAGCCUAGACAUGUUUUCUAAUAUGCAUCAGAGCUCAAUGGCUCUAGUACGUAGAGAUUUCAUGGUUACAGAUAAGAUCAGGUAACUACACAGUAUCACAGAAAUAACGGAGUCACAAUUCAUACGGUGCACGCCCACAUGCCCAUCACCCAGCAUAUGUGUCACAUCAACACCAAACACAUAACACGUUUAGAAGUGUUACUUACCUCGAACAAGCCAAAUCCAAUAUGGAGCAAGCUAAACGAUGCUCCAAAAAUAUCAUCCCACACGUACCGACCUCCGAACGGUUCGAAACUAGCCAAAAGCAACUCAAGAAUGUCAAAUCAUUCAUAAGGAAACAAUUCCAAAUGAUAAAGGUCAAAUCUUUAAUCAAAACCCCAAAGUCAACCAAAAAGUCAAACCUAGGCCGGCGCCUCAGAAUCCAACGAAACUCAUAAAAUCUGAUAACCCAUUCAAUUAUGAGUCCAAUCAUACUAGUUUCACUCAAAUCCGACUCCGAAUUGAUGUUCAAAACUCAAAAAUUCACUCUAUGAAACUUUGGACAAAAACCCCUAAUUCUUUCUUUAAAAUUCACAAUCCAAUUACCAAAAACGAAGAUAGAUCCACGAAAUAUAACCAAAACCGAGCAGAAAAUACUUACCCCAAUUCAUAUGGUGAAAAUAGCCUCAAAUAUUUCCCAAAUCCAAGCUCCCCAACUCAAAAUAUAACCAAAU
rnacentral:lncRNA from 1 species